rnacentral:rRNA from 1 species
GACGAACGCUGGCGGCGUGCUUAACACAUGCAAGUCGAACGGAAAGACCCUGCUUUUGUGGGGUGCUCGAGUGGCGAACGGGUGAGUAACACGUGAGUAACCUGCCCUUGACUUUGGGAUAACUUCAGGAAACUGGGGCUAAUACCGGAUAGGAGCUCCUGCUGCAUGGUGGGGGUUGGAAAGUUUCGGCGGUUGGGGAUGGACUCGCGGUUUAUCAGCUUGUUGGUGGGGUAGUGGCUUACCAAGGCUUUGACGGGUAGCCGGCCUGAGAGGGUGACCGGCCACAUUGGGACUGAGAUACGGCCCAGACUCCUACGGGAGGCAGCAGUGGGGAAUAUUGCACAAUGGGCGGAAGCCUGAUGCAGCAACGCCGCGUGCGGGAUGACGGCCUUCGGGUUGUAAACCGCUUUCGCCUGUGACGAAGCGUGAGUGACGGUAAUGGGUAAAGAAGCACCGGCUAACUACGUG